AGCACUCGCUAGGUCUAUGGGCGCGCAAAUAUUUGUGCUUAUGAAAAAGAUACGUUAGCUGAUUUUUAGGAUUUAUCGUACUUUUUGAAGUUACAGAGGAAGACUUUACUUGCUCUACUGAUUCUAAAAGCCUUCGAACACCAAGACUAGUGAUUCUAAAAGCCUUCGAGCACCAAGACCACUGACAUUGAGCCAGGCGGCUUGUUUGCGACGUACCCACGAACUAAUAUCCGUGUUGAUGUAAUGAAAUUUAAUAAAUAUUUUUGUGAGAGUAAUCACAGCAUCUUGUUGCGGCCCUAUGCUCCUUGAGGAGUAACAAGGAAUAAACAAUCACAUCUUUAAUAUGUAAAACAACAGGAACAGUCUCUACAGUACGUGUACUACAAAAUAUGGAAAUGAAUGCCACCCAAACCAUGAAUCCAAACCUCGCAGAUGAGGAGUAUGCUACAGAUGUUAUCUCCCAGAAGCACCCACCAUUCAAGACUGAGUUAAAUUGGAGUUCAUCUGAAAGCGGGAAAAGUGAAGAAUAUGACAUGAAAACAGCAGAAGAUCAAAAACAGCUGCUUGAUGAAACGCAAAUAUACUCAACAUAUAGUAGCCCUGAAGUUUCAGAUGAUGAUACCCAAAGAAGUUUUCUUCAUUUUACCUCUACUCAGGUAUAUGAUGUACUGGAGGGUGAAGAUGCAGGGAAUCUUAAGAAGAAAAACGAUACAUCUCCACAAGCUUUUGAAACGUCAAAGAAUGAAGAACUUAACAAAGAUUUCAUUGGAGCCACCAUAAAUGCAAAUGCAGCUCAGUGUCAUCUAGACCAAGAAUCAGAGAAUGCUGGGGAAUGGAUUUCACCAUCUCCUCAGGAAAAUUGUUUAUCCAUGGAUCAGGGCAAAGUGUUUGUUUCUCUUAUGCCAACUACUACAUUUCCUCAUCUUUCCAGAAGAAAGAUAAGUGAAGAGGAAACUGUUAAUACCAAGCUGUAUUUGACCAAAAAACCUACAGAAACAAAUGACAUUAAACAAGGCACAAAAGCUGAAGUUUUAAGAGAAGAAGAAGACUUUCUUAAAGAUAAAAAUGAAAUAAGCCAUGUCAGCAUUAGCAAUCCGAAUGUCAAGACAAACCACCCAAGCUCACAGCUUACAGAAGUAAAUGGAUGUAAAGUUUCUGUAGGACAACAAGAAAAUGAGUUUCACAUUAGACAGGAAAUGCCAGAUAAAGGAAACCAAAUAUGCAUGAAAGAGAACAAAAAUGACUUUUCCAUCUCUGAUAACUUUUACUGCAAUAAUUUAAAAGAUGAGAGGCAGGUGUCUGCAACAGAUGUGUUUGACUGCACAAUUGGUGAUGGUUUGGCCAUUAGUCUAAAAAAGAAAGAUGAAAUUUUGCAGCACACUUUGGGAUGUGGUAGGAGAAAAACUUUGACAAAACCUAAAGCUUUAAAGUCAGUUGCAAAGAAAAGCGAAAUCACCAAAGAUAUAAAAAAACCAGAUAAAAGCAUAAUCACAUCUGUAGAUGGCACAUCAAAUAACUCAUAUAAUAUGAGUACAAGUAAAAAUGGAUUCAUCAGGAGAUCUAGUCGAAUUCAAACCCAGGUUUCAAACAGUAGAGAUGAAAGAGUUAAGACACAGUCUGAAGAGGAGGAAAACAGAAGGUCCACACGGUACAAAAAUGUUCUGAUUAAAAGACAGUCAUCUACACAAGCUAAAGGGACAGAAAUAGGCAGACAUUGUGUCUUGAAUAACAUCAGGAGAUCUAAUCGAAUUCAAACCCAGGUUUCAAACAGUAGAGAUGAAAGAGUUAAGAGACAGUCUGAAGAGGAGGAAAACAGAAGGUCCACAAGGUACAAAAAUGUUCCGAUUAAAAGACAGUCAUAUACACAAGCUAAAGGGACAGAAAUAGGCAGACAUUGUGUCUUAAAUACGCCUAAGGGGAAAAUGGAAAUAAAAGAACCAUAUAAAAAGAAAAGAAAGGCGAUUAAAAAAUGUCAGGGACAUCAUGUGAAAUCAGGAAACUUAAAAAAAGAGAUUCCAAAAGAUGUAUCAAAAAUAAAGAAAAAUACUAGACUUGAAGAGUUUAAAAGGAAUUUAACAAGGGAAUUGAGUACCCAGGACUCAAAAUGCCAGAAACUGAUGGGUUUUGACAAUGAAGAAGUUACUGCAUCAAGGCAGGAGUCCAGACAGCAAAGAAAAUUCAUAAAGAGAAAAUUGCAUAUUCCAGAAGACACAUCUGUUUCCCCUGCAAAACGGUUACUCAGAAGUAACCUAACCAAUACACUAAACAGCAACAAAGAUGUACUUCAUGUCAAUGAAGAAAUAAUGAAUGAUCAAAAUAUCAUGUCAGGAUUGACUUCAAAAACUCGUGACAAAUGUGAGGCAGGAUUUCAGGACAGCUCAUGUCAAAAGCGAGAGCAAAGGAUCCUUGAUGUCAAAUUGAUUUGCUGUAAAGGAGCCAAAACCAAAAUUCAAAUUGAUCGAAAGACUAAGGAUGUCCAUAAAAAGAGAAAGGAUUUUAAGGAGAAAAAAAGAAGAGAUUUUCAACUUCGCCACAAAACUGAUCUUCUGAAACCUAAAGUGACGUUUACUGGAGUUGUCGAUGAAAGUGGUCAAAAGAUUGUAAAGGAACUUGGAGGUGAGGUAGAUCAACACAUUACAGACUGCACACACCUCGUUACUGAUAAGUUCAGAAAGGAUAAUGACCUCAGUCUCUACUUCUGCCAAGUGAACUUAAGUAUUUACUGUUUUUGCAUGUUACUAAGCAAGAAAUGGCCCCAAAUGUGCGAAGACUGCCAAUUUACAAAUGCAAAGACUAUAAAACCACAAACCAUCCUUGAUCUGUGUGCAUGGAGCCUCAAUCAGAACUGGAGACAGUUGCAGUCAAAGCAUAUCGGGAGGAUAAGCAUCCGUAUAUAUUUUUUAGGAUCAAAAAUGGGUUUUCUAAAAAUCUUUACUAACUUAUUCUGAGAAAGCAGUUUGGUUUUUUUUUGUAAUAUUUUUAUGAAGUGUACUUAAGAUAAAUAUUUUUUUUCAGAUUCGACGUACUGUGAAAUUUUUGGCUGGUUUAGCAAAAGGAAUCACCAUUGUCAGACCAGAAUGGCUUCAAAGCUGUAGAUCAGCUGGGUUCUUUGUAGAUUGCAGGCGAUUUCAACUGAAUGACUCCAAAAUGGAAAUGCGUUAUAA
rnacentral:misc_RNA from 1 species